rnacentral:tRNA from 1 species
GUCCCCAUCGUCUAGAGGUCUAGGACACUGCCCUUUCACGGCAGUAACAGGGGUUCGAAUCCCCUUGGGGACACCA